rnacentral:siRNA from 1 species
UGUAAUGGCUGUUAGGAGCGCUA